UGGGGAAUAUUGGACAAUGGGCGAAAGCCUGAUCCAGCAAUGCCGCGUGAGUGAUGAAGGCCUUAGGGUUGUAAAGCUCUUUUACCAGGGAUGAUAAUGACAGUACCUGGAGAAUAAGCUCCGGCUAACUCCGUGCCAGCAGCCGCGGUAAUACGGAGGGAGCUAGCGUUGUUCGGAAUUACUGGGCGUAAAGCGCACGUAGGCGGCCAUUCAAGUCAGAGGUGAAAGCCCGGGGCUCAACCCCGGAACUGCCUUUGAAACUAGAUGGCUUGAAUCUUGGAGAGGCGAGUGGAAUUCCGAGUGUAGAGGUGAAAUUCGUAGAUAUUCGGAAGAACACCAGUGGCGAAGGCGACUCGCUGGACAAGUAUUGACGCUGAGGUGCGAAAGCGUGGGGAGCAAAACAGGAUUAGAUACCCUGGUAGUCCACGCCGUAAACGAUGAUAACUAGCUGUCCGGGUUCAUGGAACUUGGGUGGCGCAGCUAACGCAUUAAGUUAUCCGCCUGGGGAGUACGGUCGCAAGAUUAAAACUCAAAUGAAUUGACGGGGUCAUAGCUGUUUCCU
rnacentral:rRNA from 1 species